GGAAACUACAAGAGCUCAAGACAACUUCUGCUUUAGACUCUGAAGGGUACCGAAGAGCUGACUCAAUGCAAAGGUCUCAGUAUCCUUGGUGGUGACAGAACACCUGCGAGAUAAUCCAACCUUUAAAAAGUAUACUUCCUGUUUGUACUCUGCUGGAGGCCAUGGAAAGUUUCCAGCUGCAAUGGUUCACUGACAGAGAAUCAGUCAGAGCAACAGCUCUUAACCUCUGAGAGGAGAUUUUGGUAGCAACAUGGUGUUGCAUCCACUGAGGGCAGUGGCAGAGUGGAAAAAGCACACUGGCAUCAGACAGUAGAGAAACCUAGUGUUGGGAGUAAGAACUUCUGCAAAGGCAUUUGCAGAAGCAUUGCUUGGUCUACACCACCUCCUUACAAUGCCCUUCUCUGUGUAUCUACUAAAUUGUCACACGAUCUUCAAGCUCGGCUUCAGAAAUUAUUCCCUAACUUCUCAAUCUCACAUUAUCUCUACUCUCCCUGGGAGAAUAUAUAAGUUGGUGUCUUGUCAACUGGAGUUUUUAGUGUGUACUAUUGUGCUGAGGCAACAGGCAAGAUGCUGGGAUACAAGGAUGAAUGAAAAAAAGUUCCAGAUUUCAAUAAACUGUGAGAUAUUUUAUAGGAAUGAGGUGAUUCUUAUACUCUGGCCUAUAAACAUAUAUUUCCCAUACAAGUUUUAGUC